UACGUAGGUGGCAAGCGUUGUCCGGAUUUACUGGGCGUAAAGAGCGCGCAGGCGGUCGUUCAAGUCGCGUGUGAAAGCCCCCGGCUCAACUGGGGAGGGUCACGCGAUACUGAUCGACUCGAAGGCAGGAGAGGGUAGUGGAAUUCCCGGUGUAGUGGUGAAAUGCGCAGAUAUCGGGAGGAACACCAGUGGCGAAGGCGACUACCUGGCCUGUUCUUGACGCUGAGGCGCGAAAGCUAGGGGAGCAAACGGG
rnacentral:rRNA from 1 species